rnacentral:rRNA from 1 species
CCUACGGGAGGCAGCAGUGAGGAAUAUUGGUCAAUGGGCGCGAGCCUGAACCAGCCAAGUAGCGUGAAGGAUGACUGCCCUACGGGUUGUAAACUUCUUUUAUAAAGGAAUAAAGUGCGGCACGUGUGCCUUUUUGUAUGUCCUUUAUGAAUACUGAUCGGCGAACUCCGUGCCAGCAGCCGCGGUAAUACGGAGGUUCCGAGCGUUAUCCGGAUUUAGUGGGUUUAAAGGGAGCGUAGAUGGGUUUUGAAGUCAGUUGUGAAAGUUUGCGGCGCAACCGUAAAAUUGCAAUUGAGACUGGCAGGCUUGAGUACAGUUGAGGUAGGCGGAAUUCGUGGUGUAGCGGUGAAAUGCGUAGAUAUCACGAAGAACUCCGAUGGCGAAGGCAGCUUACUAAACUGCCACUGACAUUGAGGCUCGAAAGUGUGGGUAGCAAACAGGAUUAGAUACCCCGGUAGUC